rnacentral:rRNA from 1 species
AUGAACGCUGGCGGCGUGUCUAAGGCAUGCAAGUCGAGUGGGUUCAGACCCACGGCAAACGGGAGCGUAACACAUUGGUAACUUACCCCUAACUGGAGGAUAACCCGCCGAAAGGCGGAGUAAUACUCCAUUAAUUGCACAAUCAUAUGUUUGUGCAAUAAAGAUUCAUCGGUUGGGGAGAGGCCUAUGGUCUAUCAGCUAGUUGGCAGUGUAAAGGACUACCAAGGCUCUGACGGAUAGCGGGUGUGAGAGCACGACCCGCCUCACUGGGAUUGAGAUACUGCCCAGACACCUACGGGUGGCUGCAGUCGAGAAUAUUCCUCAAUGGGCGAAAGCCUGAAGGAGCGACGCCGCGUGACUGAUGAAGUCCCUCGGGAUGUAAAGGUCUUUUCUCCGGGAAGAACUAAUGACGGUACCGGAGGAAUAAGAGGUUGCUAACUCUGU